CGGCCGCCGCCGCCCUCGUUGCCGUCUUCUUUUCACACCGAUCUCUUGGUCUUCGCUUUCCCAUUGCUGUGCUGCCCGUGAGCUCUGAGCUGGGGGGUGCCAUUAUUGCAGCGACGCAGCCUCCUCUGCCUCGUCCACGGAGCAAAAGUUGUCGCCGACAUCCCGUUCUUGUCGGCUCUCCUGGUGGCGCGGCGGCCGCCAACGGCACGGCGGGCGCCUGCGAGUGCGGCGCGGCGCCCGUCCUCCCUUCUCCUCUCGCGCUGACGCGGCUGCACGCUGGGCAGCGGUGCAUCGGCCGGGAGCGGGUCGGGCGGGCGCGGUGAGCAUGCCUGGGCAGCGGAGGCCAGGCGCGAUGGUGGAGCGGCGGAGGCGCAGCGGGGAGGCCCCGUCACGUUCGCACCCUCCUCGUCACCGUUCCCCUUGUCUGCGCUCAUGCUCGUCGCCUGCUUCGCUUGCUGUCGAUUGGGGUCCUGGGUUUCUCCUCUCCUCAGUUGCAAUCGGCUCCAUUCCGUGCUAUAUGCAGGCGCCCUGCUCCUCCUGGUUUUCUUCCUUGCUAUUGGAGAUCUACAGCCGGAUUUAUACCCGUCACCUUCAACCGGAUACGCAGGCUGCCAUUUUUGUCUGCACUGUUCAGAUCCAGAUCGCCUGAGGUCUAGGCUCCCUGCAUCGCCUGCUCUACUCCACCCUCCCUGCAGGGCGCCUCCAGCACCAAGAGCCUGAGCGCCACCCAGCACGCCCACCUGCCUUCCGAGCAGAAACCAAACCAUGGCGCCUCCUCUUCUCCGGCGAGAUUCGGCCGCCCCGGAGGACGCUAUGUCACGCCCUGAACCGGCGUCACGGCGCGACAAGAAGACAGCGUCGUUUAUCUUAAGUAUUUUACUAUAAUUAUGUUUAAGUUUGGACAACUGCCUUGUGGGCCCUGCGUGGCUGAGUUGGCUUGGGCUUAUAUAUAAGCCAGGCGUGUAUCGUGGAGGAGAGGAUCUGUCCUGGUCCGGUCGCCACCAUCGUAUCGUCCGGUCGCCACCAUCGUCUCGCUCACGUCUCUGGGAUCUCGGUCUCCGUAGGCCAAGGGUAGUGACAGUGGUAUCAGAUUCACCGUUCCUCGGCGCGCCGCCGCUGCUGUUCCGCCAUCGGAGUUCUCCGGUAUCCUCACCUUCUCCU